rnacentral:tRNA from 1 species
AUGUAAGGGGUAUAGUAUAGUGUAAGUAAGUUUAAUAUGAGUGCCAGAGGUGUUUAUGGGUUGGUUUUAAGCAUCAAAUACGGGUUUAAACCCCUUGUAUAAAAAUUAUUGUAUU